UACGAGGGGGGCGAGCGUUAAUCGGAAUUACUGGGCGUAAAGCGUGCGCAGGCGGUUUUGUAAGCCAGAUGUGAAAGCCCCGGGCUCAACCUGGGAAUGGCAUUUGGGACUGCAAGGCUUGAGUGCGGCAGAGGAGACUGGAAUUCCUGGUGUAGCAGUGAAAUGCGUAGAUAUCAGGAGGAAUACCGAUGGCGAAGGCAGGUCUCUGGGCUGACACUGACGCUCAUGCACGAAAGCGUGGGGAGCAAACAGG
rnacentral:rRNA from 1 species